rnacentral:rRNA from 1 species
ACCUACGGGGGGCAGCAGUGGGGAAUAUUGGGCAAUGGGCGCAAGCCUGACCCAGCAACGCCGCGUGAAGGAAGAAGGCUUUCGGGUUGUAAACUUCUUUUGACAGGGAAGAGCAGAAGACGGUACCUGUCGAAUAAGCCACGGCUAACUACGUGCCAGCAGCCGCGGUAAUACGUAGGGGGCAAGCGUUAUCCGGAUUUACUGGGUGUAAAGGGAGCGUAGACGGUAUGGCAAGUCUGAUGUGAAAACCCGGGGCUCAACCUCGGGACUGCAUUGGAAACUGUCGGACUAGAGUGUCGGAGAGG